AACCGGAUUAGAUACCCUGGUAGUCCACGCCCUAAACGAUGUCAACUAGCUGUUGGGGCCUUCGGGCCUUGGUAGCGCAGCUAACGCGUGAAGUUGACCGCCUGGGGAGUACGGUCGCAAGAUUAAAACUCAAAGGAAUUGACGGGGACCCGCACAAGCGGUGGAUGAUGUGGAUUAAUUCGAUGCAACGCGAAAAACCUUACCUACCCUUGACAUGUCUGGAAUGCCGAAGAGAUUUGGCAGUGCUCGCAAGAGAACCGGAACACAGGUGCUGCAUGGCUGUCGUCAGCUCGUGUCGUGAGAUGUUGGGUUAAGUCCCGCAACGAGCGCAACCCUUGUCAUUAGUUGCUACGAAAGGGCACUCUAAUGAGACUGCCGGUGACAAACCGGAGGAAGGUGGGGAUGACGUCAAGUCCUCAUGGCCCUUAUGGGUAGGGCUUCACACGUCAUACAAUGGUCGGGACAGAGGGUCGCCAACCCGCGAGGGGGAGCCAAUCCCAGAAACCCGAUCGUAGUCCGGAUCGCAGUCUGCAACUCGACUGCGUGAAGUCGGAAUCGCUAGUAAUCGCGGAUCAGCAUGUCGCGGUGAAUACGUUCCCGGGUCUUGUACACACCGCCCGUCACACCAUGGGAGUGGGUUUUACCAGAAGUAGUUAGCCUAACCGCAAGGGGGGCGAUUACCACGGUA
rnacentral:rRNA from 1 species